CCGAACUGCAGCAGCCGGCCCCUGGAUACACGUCAGAGCGGAACCGCGGCGGCCGCCGCUAUCACUCCCCGGCGACCGAUCCAAAUUGCAGCUUCCAUUGGCCAACGGAUUAGAGAGCGCGAGACCAGCCGGAUCCGAGGUUUAUUUUAAUCAAAGAUCUGAAGAGGAGCGUGCGCCCCGUCCAGGAUCUGAUUUUUUGCUGGCUAGUUAAUUUUUGUGGAUGAGAGAAUUUUCUGGUGCUUUGUGGAUGUCCUUGCUGGAUCGAGGCUGGAUGUCUCACGUGGAAGAAUUGAUUCAUGUGGCUUGUGGGGGUGAAUGGCGUAGCAUCCCAUCGUCGAUCUUCAGCACACUCUAUUGAUCCUACCGCUAGCGGCGCCGAGUCAGCCGUAAACAGAUGAACAUAUUUCUUUAAUUAUUUUUGUUAGUGGACAUAUGAUCAAAUGGAUUCACAAAUAGUGAUUUCAGCUGCUAUUUCUUCUUUGGGAAAGUAGUAUAUACCCAAC